rnacentral:rRNA from 1 species
GACGAACGCUGGCGGCGUGCUUAACACAUGCAAGUCGAACGGAAAGGCCCUGCUUUUGUGGGGUGCUCGAGUGGCGAACGGGUGAGUAACACGUGAGUAACCUGCCCUUGACUUUGGGAUAACUUCAGGAAACUGGGGCUAAUACCGGAUAGGAGCUCCUGCUGCAUGGUGGGGGUUGGAAAGUUUCGGCGGUUGGGGAUGGACUCGCGGCUUAUCAGCUUGUUGGUUGGGUAGUGGCAUACCAAGGCAUUGACGGGUAGCCGACACGAGAGGUUGACCGGCCACAUUGGGACUGAGAUACGGCCCAGAGGGCUACGGGAGGCAGCGGUGGGAAAUAUUGCACAAUGGGCCGAAGCCUGAUGCAACGACGCCGGGUGCGGAAUGACGGCCUGUGGGGUGUAAACCGCUUUAGCCUGUGACGAAGCGUGAGUGACGGUAAUGGGUAAAGAAGCACCGGCUAACUACGUG